rnacentral:rRNA from 1 species
UCCAGACUCCUACGGGAGGCAGCAGUGGGGGAUAUUGCACAAUGGGGGAAACCCUGAUGCAGCGACGCCGCGUGAGUGAAGAAGUAUUUCGGUAUGUAAAGCUCUAUCAGCAGGGACGAAAAUGACGGUACCUGAGUAAGAAGCCCCGGCUAACUACGUGCCAGCAGCCGCGGUAAUACGUAGGGGGCAAGCGUUAUCCGGAUUUACUGGGUGUAAAGGGAGCGUAGACGGCAGCGCAAGUCUGAAGUGAAAUCCCAUGGCUUAACCAUGGAACUGCUUUGGAAACUGAGCAGCUAGAGUGCAGGAGAGGUAAGCGGAAUUCCUAGUGUAGCGGUGAAAUGCGUAGAUAUUAGGAGGAACACCAGUGGCGAAGGCGGCUUACUGGACUGUAACUGACGUUGAGGCUCGAAAGCGUGGCGAGCAAACAGGAUUAGAUACCCCGGUAC